rnacentral:rRNA from 1 species
CUACGGGCGGCUCCAGUGAGGAAUUUUGCGCAAUGGGGGGAACCCUGACGCAGCAACGCCGCGUGAGUGAUGAAGGCUUUCGGGUCGUAAAGCUCUGUCAAGUGGGAAGAACCUAUGCAGUGUUAAUAUCACUGUAUACUGACGGUACCACUGAAGGAAGCACCGGCUAACUCCGUGCCAGCAGCCGCGGUAAUACGGGGGGUGCAAGCGUUAUUCGGAAUCAUUGGGCGUAAAGGGCACGUAGGCGGCUUGGUAAGUCAGAUGUGAAAGCCCGGGGCUUAACCCCGGAAGUGCAUUUGAUACUGUCAGGCUUGAGUAUGGGAGAGGGAAGUGGAAUUCCUGGUGUAGAGGUGAAAUUCGUAGAUAUCAGGAGGAACACCAGUGGCGAAGGCGACUUCCUGGACCAAUACUGACGCUGAGGUGCGAAGGCGUGGGUAGCAAACAGGAUUAGAUACCCCGGUAGUC